rnacentral:lncRNA from 13 species
AAGUAAUGCCCAGAGGAAUCCAGUGUGGGAUUAUGACAAGCAAUGGCAGUUAGCUGGAUUUGCUGCCACUUUCUGCACAACAAGGGAAGUGUUUUAAUUGGCUUUGCGCUUCCUGCUUUACAACAGUUCUGGCCUCACAUUACCAGUAACAGUCAGCAGCAAGAUGAACUUGGACCGUCAAAAAUAAACUCCAGGAAUGAAGUGAUUGCAGGAGUGCUAUUCAGGUGCCUUAUGUCUGGCAUAAAAACAUGGAUCUGAAGGGCCAGCAAGCUUCCUCAGGGAUUACUGAGGCAUCUCCUUGGAAAUCACAGCUCAUUAAUCCUGCUGUGAAGAAAGAGGCAGCCAGGACCUCUGGCUUUUCCUUUUUCUGAGCCAUAUUCUGUUCCAGCCAGCUUGGAUACCUUACAUGGACCUUAACAGGGCUCAUUACCCAGCACCAGUUGGGACUCGCUACCAUCUGUAAACUGUGCAGCCUGGAGGGAGCCUGUUGACUGGCAAUGCCAGAGAUGUCUCUUCUCUUUGCCUUUGUAAAGUCAUUUCUUUUAGGUGUGGUGAUUAAUUUAUUGAAAUUCAGGUGAAGACACCUGACCAUUUGACAGAGGGAAGAAAAGUGCUAGAUGAAAAUAUGCACUAUUCUCAAAUGUUCUCAAAGAGACUUUUAACCUCUAGUCUCAAUAGAUACUUCUGGUUUGGUUUCUCUACUUUUCUCUUGACACAAGUUUCAUUCAGAAGGUAGCAUCACAGAACGUGAAGUCACUCACCCUAGGUCAAAUUCCACAUUCCCUUUUGAAUAGACACUAAAAUGUCUAGCCUUUAUCCCACACAAUGAUAUUCGUACUCUUCUGAUUUAUCCCUGUAUUUCGUUAAGUUACUUUAAAUCCUUGGAUGAUGAGGGUCAUUGUUAUUUCCCACCUGAUGAAAAACUGAGACCUGAGAUACACAUAGAAGAGCUUUACCCCAAACCCAUGUUUCGUAACCAAAUAAUGUGAUAGUGACCUAGAACAGCUUAUUUCCUAGUCAAAAGCAGUUGUGAAACAAGGUAACUGUGACUCCUCCUCUCUGUUACACAUGCGUGUGUUGUGCCCUCUGCCCCUGCACUGACACAGUCAUCUUGAAUCACUUCACUGUUGUGUAAGAGGCUGUGGGGAAAACCUAAAGGAAUGGUUUAGUGGGUAAUUCUGACUAUUGGUAUUUUAAUAUUUGGGGUUUAAAAAAAAUUUGUAGAAAUGGGGUCUCGCUGUGUCACCCAGUCUGGCUUCA